AGGGGUAACAGGAGUAGCUUGCUAUUUGCUGACGACCGGCGCACGGGUGCGUAACGCGUAUAGAAUCUACCUUAUACUGGGGGAUAGCCUUUGGAAACGAAGAUUAAUACCCCAUAGUAUUAUUUUUUGGCAUCAUUAAAUAAUUAAAGUUUCGGCGGUAUAAGAUGACUAUGCGUUCUAUUAGUUAGUUGGUAAGGUAACGGCUUACCAAGACUUCGAUAGAUAGGGGUCCUGAGAGGGAGAUCCCCCACACUGGUACUGAGACACGGACCAGACUCCUACGGGAGGCAGCAGUGAGGAAUAUUGGACAAUGGAGGCAACUCUGAUCCAGCCAUGCCGCGUGUAGGAAGACUGCCCUAUGGGUUGUAAACUACUUUUAUAUGGGAAGAAUAAGGUCUACGUGUAGAUCGAUGACGGUACCAUAAGAAUAAGCACCGGCUAACUCCGUGCCAGCAGCCGCGGUAAUACGGAGGGUGCAAGCGUUAUCCGGAAUCAUUGGGUUUAAAGGGUCCGUAGGCGGGCAUAUAAGUCAGUGGUGAAAGUCUGUGGCUCAACCAUAGAAUUGCCAUUGAUACUGUAUGUCUUGAAUUAUUGUGAAGUGGUUAGAAUAUGUAGUGUAGCGGUGAAAUGCUUAGAGAUUACAUAGAAUACCGAUUGCGAAGGCAGAUCACUAACAAUAUAUUGACGCUGAUGGACGAAAGCGUAGGUAGCGAACAGGAUUAGAUACCCUGGUAGUCUACGCCGUAAACGAUGGAUACUAGUUGUUUGNUNUUNGGANUGAGUGACUAAGCGAAAGUGAUAAGUAUCCCACCUGGGGAGUACGUUCGCAAGAAUGAAACUCAAAGGAAUUGACGGGGGCCCGCACNAGCGGUGGAGCAUGUGGUUUAAUUCGAUGAUACGCGAGGAACCUUACCAGGGCUUAAAUGUAGUCUGACAGCUUUAGAGAUAGAGUUUUCUUCGGACAGAUUACAAGGUGCUGCAUGGUUGUCGUCAGCUCGUGCCGUGAGGUGUCAGGUUAAGUCCUAUAACGAGCGCAACCCCUGUGGUUAGUUGCCAGCGAGUAAUGUCGGGAACUCUAGCCAGACUGCCGGUGCAAACCGUGAGGAAGGUGGGGAUGACGUCAAAUCAUCACGGCCCUUACGUCCUGGGCCACACACGUGCUACAAUGGUAGGGACAGAGAGCAGCCACUUAGCGAUAAGGAGCGAAUCUAUAAACCCUAUCUCAGUUCGGAUUGGAGUCUGCAACUCGACUCCAUGAAGCUGGAAUCGCUAGUAAUCGGAUAUCAGCCAUGAUCCGGUGAAUACGUUCCCGGGCCUUGUACACACCGCCCGUCAAGCCAUGGAAGCUGGGGGUACCUNAAGUCCGUCACCGUAAGGA
rnacentral:rRNA from 1 species